rnacentral:sRNA from 1 species
AGUGCUCAUGGGCUCAGCAUUGAUUACUGUGACGUGAGCCUGUUCCAGAAUGUCUCAACUUUAAAAGGAGUGUGUAUAAAGAGUGACAAUAAGAUUGGGGUGGUGUCCGGAAACUGUGCGCCGUCAGUGGAUCUCAAUCACUGUAGCGCUAACAAGAAUACAUCCACAUUCACAGGGGAUUUAGCCGCAGACAUGCUGAUUGGAGUUGAGGAUCUCGGCACUGAGUACAUUGUGUUUGGAAUAAAAUCCCGCAGUACCGAGAGCAUGAUUACAGUGAUCGCUGUGCUGGCAGAUGCUGAAUUCUGUCUGUGGAAAAACGACUUUGGUGACGUGGACUGCUAUAAAAUUUCCCUAGGUGACUCA